rnacentral:rRNA from 1 species
GAUGAACGCUAGCGGGAGGCCUGACACAUGCAAGCCGAGCGGUAUUGUUUCUUCGGCAAUGAGAGAGCGGCGUACGGGUGCGUAACACGUGUGCAACCUGCCUUUAUCUGGGGGAUAGCCUUUCGAAAGGAAGAUUAAUACUCCAUAAUAUAUUGAACGGCAUCGUUUAAUAUUGAAAGCUCCGGCGGAUAGAGAUGGGCACGCGCAAGAUUAGCUAGUUGGUGAGGUAACGGCUCACCAAGGCGAUGAUCUUUAGGGGGCCUGAGAGGGUGAUCCCCCACACUGGUACUGAGACACGGACCAGACUCCUACGGGAGGCAGCAGUGAGGAAGAUUGGUCAAUGGGUGCAAGCCUGAACCAGCCAUCCCGCGUGAAGGACGACUGCCCUAUGGGUUGUAAACUUCUUUUGUAUAGGGAUAAACCUACCCUCGUGAGGGUAGCUGAAGGUACUAUACGAAUAAGCACCGGCUAACUCCGUG